AUGCGGCAUGCCCAAGCUUAUCCUAAACCCAAAACCCUCGCCUCGACUCGUCGUUCUCGUCUUCCCCUCCGGCGCGCCGCGGCUCCCAGCGCUCCUCACUCCCCACCUCGGCCACGACACCACCGUCAAAACAAUGGCGUCAUGCCCUCUAUACCUUCUGACCCCACGGCCCCCUCCUCCCGUCGUCGACGCCAACCGCCACCCACCCCUCGCGGGCCGCGCCAACACCCUAACCAGCCCUCGCUCUCGCCCCGGACGCCGGCAUGGUUGCCCGUUCCGUUGCGACUCCUCUUCUUCCUCGUCCUCCUCCCACGCGCCUCGCGACCGCCCGCCCAGGCCGCGGCAGCAGAGGCAGCGGACGCAGCGCCCCGGUGGCCGCGUCGACGCCGUCGACCCCGUGGGCUUCCUCGCCAAGCUCGGCGUCUCGGACCGCGUCUUCGCCCAGUUCCUCCGCGACCGGCACAAAGCUUUGAAGGACCGUAGAUGGGAGGUGUGUUCUCGGUUUAUCGAUCUGAAAGAGGCAUCCUCUGGGUUUGAGUUAAUGGGCAUGCAUCGGCAUCGACAGCACCGCGUGGAUUUCAUGGAAUGGGCACCAGGUGCUCGCUAUUGUUCUCUGGUUGGUGAUUUUAAUCAGUGGUCACCAACUGAAAACUGUGCACGAGAAGGUCAUUUGGGACAUGAUGAUUUUGGAUAUUGGUUUAUCAUACUUGAAGAUAAGCUCAGAGAAGGGCAAGAGCCAGAUGAAUAUUUUUUCCAGGAGUACAAUUAUGUGGAUGAUUAUGAUAAAGGUGACAAUGGUGUUGAUGCUGAGGAAUUAAUGCGUAGCAUGAAAGAAGAUUAUUGGGAGCCUGGAGAAGUUAGGUCACGCAAGUCUCAGUUAGAGAUGGUUGUUAAGCUAUACGAGCAAAUGUUUGGCCCAAAUGGCCCACAAACAGAGGAGGAGCUUGGUGAAAUACCUGAUGCUCAGACAAGAUACAAUGAGUGGAAAGCCUCGCAGAAGGCUGACUCGGCAAGUUUAUCACCAUCCUAUGAUAUCAUUGAUAGUGGGCAGCCCUUUGACAUUUUCAAUGUUGUAACGGAUCAAGCAUCAUUCGAAAAGUUUCAAGCAAAGAAAGCUCCCCUUGCUUACUGGGUUGAAAUGAGGAAAGGACGAAUAGCAUGGCUAGAGAAAUAUGUCCCAACGAUUUCUCAUAAGGAUAAGUACAGGGUUUAUUUUAAUACUCCUGAUGGUGCUUUAGAACGUGUUCCUGCUUGGGCUACAUAUGUUCUUCCAGAUGCUGAAGGGAAGCAAUCCUACGCAGUACAUUGGGAACCUCCCCCUGAAGAAAUUUACAAAUGGAGGUUUGAACGGCCGAAAGUGAAGUGUUCACUUAGGAUAUACGAAUGUCAUGUUGGCAUAAGUGGAUCUGAGCAAAAAAUUUCAUCAUUUCAGGAGUUCACAUCCAAAGUUCUACCUCAUAUAAAAAAUGCUGGAUACAAUGCGGUUCAAUUAAUUGGAGUUGUGGAGCACAAGGAUUACUCCUCCGUUGGCUAUAAGGUCACGAAUUAUUUUGCAGUCAGUAGCAGAUUCGGCACCCCAGAUGACUUCAAGAAGUUAGUGGAUGAGGCACAUGGCCUUGGAUUAGUGGUGCUUCUUGAUAUUGUCCACUCGUAUGCAUCGGCAGAUGAACUGGUUGGCUUAUCACUUUUUGAUGGCUCUAGUGAUUGUUACUUCCACAGCGGAAAAAGAGGGCAUCACAAAUAUUGGGGCACCAGGAUGUUUAGAUAUGAUGAUGCAGAUGUUCUCCACUUCUUACUGUCCAAUUUAAAUUGGUGGGUCACUGAAUACCGGAUCGAUGGAUUCCAGUUUCAUUCGUUGGCUUCGAUGUUAUAUACUCAUAAUGGGUUUUCUACAUUUACUGGUGCCAUUGAAGAGUAUUGCAAUCAAUAUGUUGACAAGGCUGCACUGAUAUAUCUAAUUCUAGCAAACGAAAUGUUACAUGACCUUCAUCCAGAUAUUAUAACAAUAGCAGAAGAUGCAACAUUUUAUCCUGGAUUAUGUGAGCCAAUCACUCAGGGUGGAUUAGGAUUCGACUACUGGGUCAAUCUUUCUGUUCCAGAAAUGUGGUUGUGGCAUCUUGAAAAUGUUCCUGAGCGAGAAUGGAGCAUGGAUAAAAUUAUGAAAGUAUUGGUAAGCAGAAACCACAAUAUGCUCUCAUAUGUUGAAAAUCAUAACCAGUCCAUAUCAGGCCGCAAGUCUCUUGCUGAAAUAAUUCUUAAUACUGGAAAGUACUCAGUUUGUUCUGUCGACGAUGAUCUGAUCAGAACUUCCUCAUUGCUCAAGAUUAUCAAACUAAUUACUUUCACAACGAGCGGAGGUGCUUAUCUCAACUUCAUGGGCAAUGAGUUUGCACAUCCAAAAAGAGUUGAAUUUCCUAUGUCAAGCAAUGACUAUUCCUUCCGGCUAGCUAAUCGGCAAUGGGAACUAUUGGAAAAGGGUCUUCAUAAACAUCUAUUCAACUUUGACAAGGAUGUCAUGAGCUUGGAUGAAAAUGAAAGGAUAAUUUCUAGAGGUUCACCCAACAUUCAUCACUGUGAUGACACAAGCAUGGUCAUAUCGUUCACAAGAGGACCUUUCCUUUUUGUAUUUAAUUUCAAUCCUGAAGUCUCCCAUCAGUUGUAUCAUGUUGGUGUGGAUGAAGCUGGGGAAUAUCAACUCAUCUUGAACACGGAUGAAACUAAAUAUGGUGGAUGUGGAGAGCUCAAGGGCAGUCAGUAUAUAAGGAGAACCAGUGACAAAAGAGUUGAUGGUUGUCGCAACUCCUUGGAAUUAACAUUACCAUCUAGAAGUGCUCAGGUGGGUGUACAAGUUGGUCCGGAUUUUGAGAAUUUAGCAUGUAAACAAUGAGUAUUGUUGAUAGAACCAUGCAGCCUCUUAGAAGAUGGGGCUUGGAAGGCAAUAUCUGUACUCUUGCAGCAUUGGAAGAUAGGAUGGCAAAACUGAGAUUGGUGCCACCUUAGUGGUCUAGCUUCUAGAACUAUGUUCAUAUUGAGGGGAUGCUUCAUUAGCUUUGAACUGACUUAAACGAGGAAGUCAGCAAGUGAUCACGAAGGGAACAGGUCAGCUAAGCUACACCCAACAGUGACCUUUACAUACAACGGUGCCAUCCCUGGACUCUGAAAGCCGCAUGCAGACUGUUGGAUUGAUGAUUCAGAUAUAGGAUAGUGGACAAAUAAAGUGCAUGCACUUUUUAUUCUGAUCAGUGAUUUCAUCUGUCAGCUUCGUUUUCCAACAACCAACAAGCUCAGGAAGUGAUAUGCUGCAGUUAUGAGGACAAUAGCUGAUGUUUGGCCGAUGAAUGUAGUAUUAUAACAAGAAUUUUAUGUGCAAAUUAAAACAUUACCUACAACAUUACUGGCUCUAGUCUGCAGCCUUUGUUUCCAUCGGAAUAAGAAUCUGCCGGGCUGACUGUCGUUAGCUUGGAGUAAUUUAGAAUGAUCAGAUAUGUGUAAUCAAGUUUGAUAGAUAUUAGGAUGCGAAUACGCCAGAUUUUAGGUGUGCAGAAAAGAGCACCGUAACAGGCUCGUUGAUGGGACUGUUGCUAUACUA